rnacentral:rRNA from 1 species
GACGAACGCUGGCGGCGUGCUUAACACAUGCAAGUCGAGCGGAAAGUCCCUUCGUGGUACUCGAGCGGCGAACGGGUGAGUAACACGUGAGUAACCUUCCCCAGACUUUGGGAUAACCCUCUGCAACUGGGGCUAAUACCGUAUACGACACAGCUUCGCAUGGGGUCUGUGUGGAAGGGUUUGCUGUGUGGGAUGGGAGCGCGGCGUAUCAGCUUGGUGGUGGGGUGAUGGUAGACCAAGGCGACGACGGGUAGCAGGCCUGAGCGGGCGACCGGCCAAGCUGGGACUGAGCUACGGCACAGCCCACACCGGGAGGCAGCAGUGCGGAAUAUUGCACUAUGGGCGGAAGCCUGAUGCAGCGAAGCCGCGUGGCGGAUGACGGCCUUCGGGUUGUAAACCACUUCCCGCUGGGACGAAGCGUAAGUGACGGUACCUGCAGAAGAAGCGCCGGCUAACUCCGUG